rnacentral:lncRNA from 1 species
GGGCGGGCCGAGAGGAUAUUCUCUGCCAACUCGUCCAACGACAAGCACGUGAUUCCCAGGCCUUAGCAGACGACGUUCUUUGGUGACUACUUAUUAACAAUAACCGUUAUAUAAGCAGGGAUGCCAGGCGGCGGUGGCAAAGGCGGCGGUGGUGGUGGCGGUAAAGGUGGUGGCGGCCAGGUGGCGCGGUCUUCAAGUGGCGCCGUCAAAUGCCACGGCGGCGGCGCAGUCAAGUCCAGCACCCAAGUCCGCACGUCCUACGGCCCUGGCAAUGCGUCCGUGACCACGGCCAAGACGGCCACCGUCAGGAGCGGUCCUGCUGGGGUCUCCACCACGUACAAGGCUGUGCAGACCAGCUUCAACCCCCACCAUUAAAUUGCCUGCUA